CUGGAGCUAAUUUCAAUAGAAAGUCCAGAAAUAGUGUCCAAAAGUCCAAAAGUUUCCCCACAUUCCCAGUUCCGACUAAGCGGCGACUCAGCUUGGUUGUGGUUUUCCACCAGCCACAUGGAUCUUAAUGAUCUGAACAAGGUCUGGGAAGUCAAACCUUUGAAGAAGGUGCGUGAUGAUGAGGCAAGAGAAAUUCUUGAAAAGGUAGCGAAGCAAGUGCAACCUAUAAUGCGCCAACGGAAAUGGAAAGUCAAGUUGCUCUCUGAAUUUUGUCCUGCCAAUCCAUCACUUUUAGGACUCAACAUAGGAGGAGGUGCAGAGGUUAAGCUUAGAUUGCGGCGACCAAACAAUGAGUUGGACUUCUUCCCUUAUACUCAAAUUCUUCACACCAUGCUUCAUGAACUCUGCCACAAUGAAUAUGGCCCACAUAAUGCUGAUUUUUAUAACCUAUUGGACGAAAUCAGGAAGGAAUGUGAAGAGCUUAUGGUUAAAGGAAUUACAGGUACUGGACAAGGAUUUGAUCUCCCCGGAAAGCGAUUGGGUGGGUUUUCUCGACAACCUCCAUUGUCAUCAUUGCGGCAGAAAGCACUGGCUGCUGCAGAAAAUAGAUCACGAGUUGGAGCACUUUUGCCAUCGGGGCCUAAGCGUCUGGGGGGUGAUAGUAGCAUUAAGGCUGCACUCACCCCAAUUCAGGCUGCCGCUAUGGCUGCAAAAAGGAGGUUACACGAUGAUCUGUGGUGCGGCUCCAAAAUGGUAGAGAGCGAGGGACCUUCUGAAAGCUCUAAAACUUCAGUAGGACCAAAGCCUGAUCAUAUUUCAGUUCUAGGAACCGAUCCUCAGAUAAUGUGGGAAUGUUGUACGUGUACUUUAUUGAAUCAGCCGCUAGCGCUUCUAUGUGGAGCUUGUGGAACCCCAAAGGAUAGAGGAAAUGAAGCAAAGGCAGCAAAAGUCUGGUCUUGUAAGUUUUGCACGUUACAUAAUAACCACGAGGUUGACCGGUGCUUAGCUUGUGGAGAGUGGAGAUACUCUUAUGGUCCACCUGUUUCAACCACUGGUCCUCAUAUUGGCACCUAAAACACGAGAAGCGAAGAAUUUUAAUAAAAAUUACAGGCGGACUUUAGUACAGUUUUGUUUCUUUAUGCAGCAACGAGAUUCAGGCAUGAUUCGCGUGAUUGAACUAACAAAUAUGAUAUAGUACCAGUUAGUAUUCAUUCUACAUUGUUUAUUGAGUAAUCUUUUUACGUGACUUAGUACUUCAAAAGUAAUUAACCUUUGUACUAUAGUAUAUGCAACAAUAUAAUUUCUUCAAGUGUACAUUUAGUUGAAUGAUUCAUCAAAUUUAAGAAGUAGACUUAGUGGAGUGUUGGCUUUGUGUUCAAACGAAGUUAAACCAAGGCUGUCAUUUUGUUUCAAGGAAGAGAUGACUAAUUCAAGCGGCCAUUUAGAUGACUAAUUCUAGACUAUUCGAUAUGAAAAUGAACGGAAAGAAAGAGAGUUAGGUCAAUAGAGACGGACGUUUACUUAGGGGAGUUACUACUAUUUCAUUUUGGGAUAUCGAUUUCCAUUUUCCAGGUCAAGAAAUUUUCUAAGUUUCCAAUUUUCCGGUAUCCGUGUUCACAUUAAACAACAAACCACCACUACCCCCAGCCGAUUUUUUUUUUCCCUAGGUGAUGGUAGUUCUUUUGAAUUUAAAAGUAUCUAAUUAACAUAUCAUAUGAAUCCCAAGUCAAAAGUUAGAAAAUGAAUUCCAACGAUUCAGAAGCUAAUUUAAAUUAAAUUAAUCAAAAUCAAACGCCUCAAUCUUAACAUUAUUGAUAGUUUUGAUUUUGGGUUUAGAGAAGUGGUUUUGCAUUUUUAGUUUUCUCAAAAAACAAAAUAUGUUAUUGAAACAUAUUUGGGGUUUAUAAGUUCAACUAAGUGAAAUCAUUAUUUUUAAGUUCAACUAAGUGAAAUCAUUAUUUUUAUUGGGGUUUAUAAGUUCAACAUAUUUGGGGUUUAUAAGUUCAACUAAGUGAAAUCAUUAUUUUUAUUUAUUAUGAUCUGAUUUUUGAUUUUUAGUCAUGUAAUAAGAUGAUUAAAAAGAAAAAGGAAACAAAUGAAGAUUUGUAUCAUCAUGGUGAAAUCAGAAAUAAAUCACAUUUAAGACUGAUUUCUUUAGCAUUUACCCUGCCCCUAAUUACCUGCCCCACCCCCUACUCUCACACACCCAAUACAUAAACACCUUCUUCUCUUUUUCUUUUCCUCCUUUUUCUCCUCCUCUCUUACCAAGAAAUUUCUCUCUCUAUUUUUCUAUGGAUGGCUGCAUUUUCCUCUCUCGAUUUCCUUCAUCUAUUUCCACCUUAGAACCUUAAAAAUUCCUUCAUUUCCCAUUUCCUCUUAUUUCCUUUCCCUCUCUCUCUCUCUUUAUCUAAUUUUCUCCUUUUUAUUUAGAAGCAAAAAA